UCUUUAAAAAAACAAACAAAAAGAAAAAAAUGAAGAUGAAAGCAUAUAACAUUUUCUAAGGAAAAAAUCUGAUACAAAACCAUCAACAAUGAAAUAUAUCUUGAUUAACUAACUGAAGUUCAAGGAUGAAGAAGUUUUGCAAAGUCACUUGCAACUGGAAAAAGAUCAGGCUAUCUUCAGACUUCUCCACUAAUUCAAAUGUAAAACACAUUAGGGCAAUAACUGAAAUUUGAAAGGGAAGAAAAUCUGACCCGAUCCUAUUACACCAACUAAGUUGACAUUCACAAUAAAAGUUACAGUCCAUAUCCUCAAACACAAAAUAUCACCUACGAAAUAUAGCACUAGUGAGACCUUCUUGGAGAAAACAAUCAAACAAAAACUUCUCAAAAUCGAAUUUUUGUAAUUAAGAUAUAAAAGAAAAAUUGAAUUUCUUUAAAUCAAAUGUAAGAUAGAACAACUGGGUAAAGAGGAUCACAGGAGGUUGUUAUUUCGAAACCUCGGAGUUUGCCAAGUGAAAUUUGAAACUGGCCCCCACACACUGAGGGCAAGGAGAGAGGGAAGAAGGAGAAGAAAGAGGCAGACCACUCCAGAUGCCUAGGUGUUUUAAUAAGCAACGGAACUUACAUGAGGCUUGUCUUGAGUGGCCACAAGGAACUUGAGCUCUUAGAAGAGUAAAAAUAAUUCCUGCAGUGAAGGAGCUCAUGGUCCAGUUGGAGAAGGAUGUGGGAGUGCUUUAAUGUAUGUGAUGUCAUGUGGGAAGGAUCUCAGAAGGUAAGAGUGUCUAUGGUCUAUGAGAGUCUUCAAAUGGCCACACUCAUCAUUCCCUAUUGCCUUUCUCUUACACAAACCUCCAACUUCUUUUUACGUUAUCAACCUGUUCCCUGAUUACAACUGGUGUUUUGACUUCCUGUCCAGCCACCCACUGACAAGCUUGGAAAUGAAAAAAGGAAUGUGACUUGCUUUCACUCUGCACUAAGGCAUCAGUGAGUGCACCAGAACCACUUCCAGACUGGCCGUCUGACACAUGUCCCAUCGAAUUUCAUAUACGACUUAUUUUCCACUUUUGGAAUAAUGAGGAAAAGUAGCUAUAGUGCAAUAACACGGUUAAACAGAAGUUGAGUCCUGGGUUCAGUUCUUCAUGUUUAAUGGAGAAUGUGGCCCAUAUAAUCUCUAAGUUCUAAAAUAUCUAUUCCUAUGCCUUCUAGGGUCACAAUAAUACUAGUUCUUGCUUAAUAAUUUGGGCUGAGAGAAAUCCUCACUUCUAAGACUUCCUAUAGCUCCAACUUUCCCAGAGCAGAUCAAAACCACCUGGAAUUUGGAGGCAGAUGGGCUAGUGAGGAUUAAACUGAGUUUGUAUCCAAAUAAGUGAUAUCCCAGCGUCCCAUCCCCUCUACAAUUCAUCAAGUUGCAGUCUGUUUACUUUUAUAAAGUUUAUUUUCUUGAAAAUUUAGAAAUUCUGUAGUCCACUUAAGGGAAUCAUCUGAGAGAGUAAAGCUGUACAAGGAAAUGUAAAUUAUUAAGUCUUACUUCCAUAACACUUAUUGGAAAAACCAUUAGAAAGAUCUCAUUAUUUGUAGGGUUAUGUCAGACGUCAUUUUCAUGAGGGAAACAGUAUCCUUAUUUCAAGAUGAUAGCUGUGAUAUUUCUAAAUUGGUAUUUGCUUCUAGAAGAACAAACAUUUUGUAAGUUCAAAAUUCUUGUAUAUAUCAACUUGUAGCAAACCACUGCGAAUUUGAAAACAAACCAUCACCAAAACUAAUGCUGUUUAAAUCAGGCCAUUGUGCUGGUUUUGAAAUAUCAAGCUAAGAUCAAAGGGGUUUUAUUCAGAUUUUUUUGUGUUAAUAAAAACUUUCUUUUCAGUAUAAAUUUUUCCAGAAAGAGAUUAUCAUAUACAAAUUUAGAUAUAAUUACAAGAAUUUUUAAAAGAAACGCCCAAAACUAAAAUAAAUGAAGAAGAUAUUUUGAAUAGACAAUGAUAAAUGUUUUCCCUGCAAAAUCUCACUGCAACUAUUGGCAUCAUCUGCAGACGAUCAGUUAAAAAUGGCAAGGGAUGCAGUUAUAACUAAAUGCUAAUUCAAAGCAAAUGUGUUAGAUAAUGUCCAAUGCACCUUCUUGAAUUCUGCUAUUUUCCCAAACUCUCAAAAAAUUGAAGGUGUACACGUACAUUUAGUUCAAUUCUGGUCUCCUUUUGAAAUAGACAUGCUUAAUACAAUCUACAGUCUUUCUCCUGUUGUUUACAGUACUCGAUACUGGCUCCUGGUACCUCAUAAAAUCACUAGUAUGUCUUUUGCACUUUUCAUUUUAUUUCCUCAAGAAUAAUAACAGCAUUUUUAGCUUUUCCCGUUGGAAGUUUACCAGAACAGUGGUAUAUUCAAAUAAAGAUGUUUUAAGAUGUUUCAUGCAAAGUAUCCUAAGGACAUUAUUUCCUGACAAUUAAAAUCCAACCAGGAGCUCAUUAGUGCUAUUAUAAAAGAGAACAACACUUUUGAUAGAAGAAAAUCAAGUAAUCAUCAUUCUAUUGAAAAGCUGAGAUAAAUAACUGAUAGCUAUGACUAGAACACUUGAUUGGAAUUUUCUAAGCUUUUGAUGCAUUCAUUAACAACAACAAAAAAGGAGUCUUUCGUCUUUCAUACAACGUAAGAUUAAAAGCAAGGAACAAUGAACAACAUUGACUUCUUUUCUUAUAGUAAAUGCAUGACUGGGAAGGGUGAAGGUUUAACCCUGGCAGUUACUAAUUCCAGAAGGGAUUUUCCUGGAGGGUAAGAGGUAUAUUUUACUGUCACCGGAAACCCUGAAAAAAUAGAUGGUUGUCAUUUGAUAAAUUAAAAAUCAAGACAAAUGUUAUUAAAGUAAAAAAUGUUAAAUAUUUUCAUGGAUGCUGAGUAUGUACAAAGAAAGUUAUAUGUUUUCUUCCAUUCCUAGAACCUAAAAACUUAUCAGUAACCAACUGGGAAGAAGAUUUCAGUCUCCUUGGGCCAUCGGUUUAUGCCCUACCACAGGACUCUGGAGCCUGGUGACCCUUCCCCAGCUGCCAAGCCUAAGUCUGAUAUGCAAGAGAAUUGCCCCUUAUCCUUCAGAGGCCCUGAUGACUUUUUCAUAUCUUGUUUCUCUUAAGAUUUUAAUGAAAGAAACUCCCUUUAUUAAUAGAAGUUUUCUUUAA